GAUCUCAGUUGACUGCAACUUAAAGUGGAUUCAACUGUGUUAUAUGGCAUCCACAAAAUCUACUAAGAUCUUAGGAUGCAUCUGUAGAUGAAUCGUGGCUAUUCUAGAAUGAAGGGUGUGGUAAGAUCACUCCAUGCUACACCAGGAAGAAUAUCCAGUAUUUUCAGACAUUUACAAAUUCAGGAGCAUGUAGGAUGGUGAGUGACUUUGAACAAAUAUAUCACGUCAGAAGGAGCUGAAACAACUGGGGAGGUUAAACCUAAAAAAAACAUUCUUGGUGAGAACAUAACUGUUGAAGGAUUAAAUGAGAUAGUAUAUGAGAUAGUACUUAGUGCAAUGCCUGGCACACGGGCUCAAUUAAUGUUAAUAAUAAAAGAAUGAUAAUUAGUAGUAUUAUCAGUAGUCAUACUAUUAUUAUUGUUACUAGCACUACUCCAGGUCCUUUACACAUACUGACUCAUUUAUUCUUCUUACCAAUCCUAUGAGGUAGGUACUAUUUUGUCUCCAAUUUUGCAGAUGGGAAGUAGAGUCACAGAAAGGUCAAGUAUAUUGCCCAGUGUAUCUCACAGGUGGGCAGGGGAAAGAACAAGAACAUUAACUUCGGCAGUGUCAGGUUGUCAAGGGUAAAAGGCACUUUUGUUAUUUUACACUUGUUUUGUAACACUCCAGAGGGCACAACCAGGACCAAUGUGCAUAAACUACAAGGAGGCAGAUUUCAGCUCAAAGGGGGAAAAAAAAAACACUGAAUGAUUAGAACUGUCUGAAAUUUCACUGGAGUAUCUCUUAAGGUAGUGAGUCCUCCAUCACAGGAUGUGAGGAAAAAAAGGAUAAAAAUGAAGAAUGAAUAAAUGGGGCUCCUCUCGGAAAGAAACCAUACAAAUGAUGAAGCCAACCCUUGGUGAAAAGAAUAAAGAAGGUAGAGUGAAACUUGGUUUAAAAGACACAUGUCGGGCUUCCCUGGUGGCGCAGUGGUUGAGAGUCCGCCUGCCGAUGCAGGGGACGCGGGUUCGUGCCCCGGUCUGGGAGGAUCCCACAUGCCGCGGAGCGGCUGGGCCCGUGAGCCAUGGCCGCUGAGCCUGCGUGUCCGGAGCCUGUCCUCCGCAACGGGAGAGGCCACAACAGUGAGAGGCCCGCGUAACGCAU
rnacentral:lncRNA from 1 species